GGCGUUGCUUUCCUGCCAGCGAGCAUCUCUUAUCUCAUUGGAACCAAUAUUUUUGGGAUACUUGCACACAAAAUGGGAAGGUGGCUGUGUGCUCUUCUGGGAAUGGUAAUUGUCGGAAUCAGCAUUUUAUGUAUUCCUUUUGCAAAAAAUAUCUACGGACUCAUCGCUCCCAACUUUGGAGUUGGCUUUGCAAUUGGUAAGUCACUCAGUCCU